GGGCCCGCACAAGCAGUGGAGUAUGUGGUUUAAUUCGAAGCAACGCGAAGAACCUUACCUGGGCUUGACAUCCCUAGAAUCCCCAAGAGAUUGGGGAGUGCCUUCGGGAACUAGGUGACAGGUGGUGCAUGGUUGUCGUCAGCUCGUGUCGUGAGAUGUUGGGUUAAGUCCCGCAACGAGCGCAACCCCUAUUGUUAGUUGCCAUCAUUCAGUUGGGCACUCUAGCGAGACUGCCGGUGAUAAAUCGGAGGAAGGUGGGGACGACGUCAAAUCAUCAUGCCCCUUAUGUCCAGGGCUACACACGUACUACAAUGGCCGAUAACAAAGUGCAGCGAAACCGUGAGGUGGAGCGAAUCACAAAACUCGGUCUCAGUUCAGAUUGCAGGCUGCAACUCGCCUGCAUGAAGUCGGAAUUGCUAGUAAUCGCGAAUCAGAAUGUCGCGGUGAAUACGUUCCCGGGCCUU
rnacentral:rRNA from 1 species